rnacentral:rRNA from 1 species
UACGAAGGGGGCUAGCGUUGCUCGGAAUCACUGGGCGUAAAGCGCACGUAGGCGGAUCUUUAAGUCAGGGGUGAAAUCCUGGAGCUCAACUCCAGAACUGCCUUUGAUACUGGGGAUCUCGAGUCCGGGAGAGGUGAGUGGAACUGCGAGUGUAGAGGUGAAAUUCGUAGAUAUUCGGAAGAACACCAGUGGCGAAGGCGGCCUUCUGGACCAAUACUGACGCUCAUGCACGAAAGCGUGGGGAGCAAACAGG